AGCCAGACUCCUACGGGAGGCAGCAGUGGGGGAUAUUGCACAAUGGGGGGAACCCUGAUGCAGCGACGCCGCGUGGGUGAAGGAGUAUUUCGGUAUGUAAAGCCCUAUCGGCAGGGAAGAAGCAAGACGGUACCUGACUAAGAAGCCCCGGCUAACUACGUGCCAGCAGCCGCGGUAAUACGUAGGGGGCAAGCGUUAUCCGGAUUUACUGGGUGUAAAGGGAGCGCAGACGGCAGUGCAAGUCUGGAGUGAAAGCCCGGGGCCCAACCCCGGGACUGCUCUGGAAACUGUACGGCUAGAGUACGGGAGGGGCAGGCGGAAUUCCUAGUGUAGCGGUGAAAUGCGUAGAUAUUAGGAGGAACACCGGCGGCGAAGGCGGCCUGCUGGACCGAAACUGACGUUGAGGCUCGAAAGCGUGGGGAGCAAACAGGAUUAGAUACCCGAGUAC
rnacentral:rRNA from 1 species